rnacentral:rRNA from 1 species
AUUGAACGCUGGCGGCAGGCCUAACACAUGCAAGUCGAACGAGUGGCGGACGGGUGAGUAUUGUCUGGGAAACUGCCCGAUGGAGGGGGAUAACUACCGGAAACGGUAGCUAAUACCGCAUACCAUCGGAUGUGACCAGAUGGGAUUAGUUAGUAGGUGGGGUAACGGCUCACCUAGACGCCGAUCCCUAGCUGGUCUGAGAGGAUGACCAGCCCCCCUGGAACUGAGACGCGGUCCGGCCUCCUACGAGAGGCGGCGGUGGAGAGUAUUACACAGUGGGCGCAGGCCUGGUGCGACCAUGCCGCGUGGAUGGAGAGAGCCUUCGGGUUGUAGAGUACUUUCAGCGAGGAGGCGUUACUCGAAGAAGAAGCACCGGCUAACUCCGUGCCAGCAGCCGCGGUAAUAC